rnacentral:rRNA from 1 species
UACGGAGGGUGCAAGCGUUAUUCGGAUUUAUUGGGCGUAAAGCGCAUGUAGGCGGUUUCGUAAGUUUGGUGUGAAAGCCCUGGACUCAAUCCAGGAAGUGCAUUGAAUACUGCGAGACUAGAGUAUCGGAGAGGAAGGUGGAAUUCCAGGUGUAGAGGUGAAAUUCGUAGAUAUCUGGAGGAACAACAGUGGCGAAGGCGACUUUCUGGACGGUAACUGACGCUGAGAUGCGAAAGUGUGGGGAGCAAACAGG